rnacentral:rRNA from 1 species
AGAGUUUGAUCCUGGCUCAGAACGAAUGCUGGCGGCGUGCCUAACACAUGCAAGUCGAACGGAGAUAAGGGGCUUGCUCCUUAUUUUAGUGGCGCACGGGUGAGUAACGCGUGGAUAAUCUACCUUGGAAUCUGGGAUAACAUUUCGAAAGGGGUGCUAAUACCGGAUAAGACCACGAGCUCUUUGGAGUUUGCGGUAAAAGGGGGCCUCUGUAUAUGCUUCUGUUUCAAGAUGAGUCCGCGUACCAUUAGCUAGUUGGCAGGGUAAUGGCCUACCAAGGCGACGAUGGUUAGCUGGUCUGAGAGGAUGAUCAGCCACACUGGAACUGAGACACGGUCCAGACUCCUACGGGAGGCAGCAGUGGGGAAUUUUGCGCAAUGGGGGAAACCCUGACGCAGCAACGCCGCGUGAGUGAUGAAGGCCUUCGGGUCGUAAAGCUCUGUCAGAGGGAAAGAAGUGUAUGGCGGUU